rnacentral:rRNA from 1 species
UAGGGAAUCUUCCACAAUGGACGAAGGUCUGAUGGAGCAACGCCGCGUGAGUGAAGAAGGGUUUCGGCUCGUAAAACUCUGUUGUUAAAGAAGAACAUAUCUGAGAGUAACUGUUCAGGUAUUGACGGUAUUUAACCAGAAAGCCACGGCUAACUACGUGCCAC